GGUUAAGCGACUAAGCGUACACGGUGGAUGCCCUGGCAGUCAGAGGCGAUGAAGGACGUGCUAAUCUGCGAAAAGCGUCGGUAAGGUGAUAUGAACCGUUAUAACCGGCGAUGUCCGAAUGGGGAAACCCAGUGUGAUUCGUCACACUAUCGUUAACUGAAUACAUAGGUUAACGAGGCGAACCGGGGGAACUGAAACAUCUAAGUACCCCGAGGAAAAGAAAUCAACCGAGAUUCCCCCAGUAGCGGCGAGCGAACGGGGAGCAGCCCAGAGUCUGAAUCAGCUUGUGUGUUAGUGGAACGGUCUGGAAAGUCCGACGGUACAGGGUGAUAGUCCCGUACACCAAAAUGCACAGGUUGUGAACUCGAAGAGUAGGGCGGGACACGUGGUAUCCUGUCUGAAUAUGGGGGGACCAUCCUCCAAGGCUAAAUACUCCUGACUGACCGAUAGUGAACCAGUACCGUGAGGGAAAGGCGAAAAGAACCCCGGCGAGGGGAGUGAAAAAGAACCUGAAACCGUGUACGUACAAGCAGUGGGAGCCUCUUUAUGGGGUGACUGCGUACCUUUUGUAUAAUGGGUCAGCGACUUAUAUUCUGUAGCAAGGUUAACCGUAUAGGGGAGCCGCAGGGAAACCGAGUCUUAACUGGGCGUUAAGUUGCAGGGUAUAGACCCGAAACCCGGUGAUCUAGCCAUGGGCAGGUUGAAGGUUGGGUAACACUAACUGGAGGACCGAACCGACUAAUGUUGAAAAAUUAGCGGAUGACUUGUGGCUGGGGGUGAAAGGCCAAUCAAACCGGGAGAUAGCUGGUUCUCCCCGAAAGCUAUUUAGGUAGCGCCUCGUGAAUUCAUCUUCGGGGGUAGAGCACUGUUUCGGCUAGGGGGUCAUCCCGACUUACCAACCCGAUGCAAACUACGAAUACCGAAGAAUGUUAUCACGGGAGACACACGGCGGGUGCUAACGUCCGUCGUGAAGAGGGAAACAACCCAGACCGCCAGCUAAGGUCCCAAAGUCAUGGUUAAGUGGGAAACGAUGUGGGAAGGCACAGACAGCCAGGAUGUUGGCUUAGAAGCAGCCAUCAUUUAAAGAAAGCGUAAUAGCUCACUGGUCGAGUCGGCCUGCGCGGAAGAUGUAACGGGGCUAAACCAUGCACCGAAGCUGCGGCAGCGACACUAUGUGUUGUUGGGUAGGGGAGCGUUCUGUAAGCCUGCGAAGGUGGCCUGUGAGGGUUGCUGGAGGUAUCAGAAGUGCGAAUGCUGACAUAAGUAACGAUAAAGCGGGUGAAAAGCCCGCUCGCCGGAAGACCAAGGGUUCCUGUCCAACGUUAAUCGGGGCAGGGUGAGUCGACCCCUAAGGCGAGGCCGAAAGGCGUAGUCGAUGGGAAACAGGUUAAUAUUCCUGUACUUGGUGUUACUGCGAAGGGGGGACGGAGAAGGCUAUGUUAGCCGGGCGACGGUUGUCCCGGUUUAAGCAUGUAGGCGGAGGUUCCAGGUAAAUCCGGUACCUUUUAACGCUGAGGUGUGAUGACGAGGCACUACGGUGCUGAAGUAACAAAUGCCCUGCUUCCAGGAAAAGCCUCUAAGCAUCAGGUAACAUUAAAUCGUACCCCAAACCGACACAGGUGGUCAGGUAGAGAAUACCAAGGCGCUUGAGAGAACUCGGGUGAAGGAACUAGGCAAAAUGGUGCCGUAACUUCGGGAGAAGGCACGCUGAUAUGUAGGUGAAGCCCCUGCGGGUGGAGCUGAAAUCAGUCGAAGAUACCAGCUGGCUGCAACUGUUUAUUAAAAACACAGCACUGUGCAAACACGAAAGUGGACGUAUACGGUGUGACGCCUGCCCGGUGCCGGAAGGUUAAUUGAUGGGGUUAUCCGUAAGGAGAAGCUCUUGAUCGAAGCCCCGGUAAACGGCGGCCGUAACUAUAACGGUCCUAAGGUAGCGAAAUUCCUUGUCGGGUAAGUUCCGACCUGCACGAAUGGCGUAAUGAUGGCCAGGCUGUCUCCACCCGAGACUCAGUGAAAUUGAACUCGCUGUGAAGAUGCAGUGUACCCGCGGCAAGACGGAAAGACCCCGUGAACCUUUACUAUAGCUUGACACUGAACAUUGAGCCUUGAUGUGUAGGAUAGGUGGGAGGCUUUGAAGCGUGGACGCCAGUCUGCGUGGAGCCAACCUUGAAAUACCACCCUUUAAUGUUUGAUGUUCUAACGUAGACCCCUAAUCGGGGUUGCGGACAGUGUCUGGUGGGUAGUUUGACUGGGGCGGUCUCCUCCCAAAGAGUAACGGAGGAGCACGAAGGUUAGCUAAUCCUGGUCGGACAUCAGGAGGUUAGUGCAAUGGCAUAAGCUAGCUUGACUGCGAGCGUGACGGCGCGAGCAGGUGCGAAAGCAGGUCAUAGUGAUCCGGUGGUUCUGAAUGGAAGGGCCAUCGCUCAACGGAUAAAAGGUACUCCGGGGAUAACAGGCUGAUACCGCCCAAGAGUUCAUAUCGACGGCGGUGUUUGGCACCUCGAUGUCGGCUCAUCACAUCCUGGGGCUGAAGUAGGUCCCAAGGGUAUGGCUGUUCGCCAUUUAAAGUGGUACGCGAGCUGGGUUUAGAACGUCGUGAGACAGUUCGGUCCCUAUCUGCCGUGGGCGCUGGAGAAUUGAGGGGGGCUGCUCCUAGUACGAGAGGACCGGAGUGGACGCAUCACUGGUGUUCGGGUUGUCAUGCCAAUGGCAUUGCCCGGUAGCUAAAUGCGGAAGAGAUAAGUGCUGAAAGCAUCUAAGCACGAAACUUGCCCCGAGAUGAGUUCUCCCUGAGACUAUAAGUCUCCUGAAGGAACGUUGAAGACGACGACGUUGAUAGGCCGGGUGUGUAAGCGCAGCGAUGCGUUGAGCUAACCGGUACUAAUGAACCGUGAGGCUUAACCUU
rnacentral:rRNA from 1 species